ACAUGCCUACAACAUAAUGCUAAUGUGUUGGAUCCCAUUAGAACUCCAUAGUUAAUCGCACUCAAGCUAGAGUAGUACUGGGAUGGGUGACCGCCCGAGAAGUCCUAGUGUUUUACAUGCC
rnacentral:rRNA from 1 species